rnacentral:rRNA from 1 species
AUGCAUGAUCUCGUUCAUGAUUUCGUAGAGUCACUUUCCAAAGAAGUCUGCUUCAGAUUAGAAGAUGACAAGGUGGCAACAAUACCAUGCACUGUUCGACAUCUAUCUGUUUGUGUUAAGAGUUUGAAGCAACAUAAAUACUCGUUCGGCAGCCUACAUCAUUUACGUACCUUUAUCUGCAUUGAUCCACUUACAGAUGAUGCAAGAGAUAUUUUCCAACACGUGCUGCAAAGUUUGAAGAAGCUGCGUGUACUUAGGCUGAGGUUUUACAAUAGCAACAAGCUACCUGAAUCUGUUGGUGAACUGAAGCACCUUCGGUACUUGGAACUCAGAGGUACUUCUAUCUCUGAAUUGCCUGGAUCAUUGUGUGCUCUUUACCACUUGCAAUUACUUAAGUUCAGUGGCAAUGUUAAAUCUUUGCCUGAAAAACUAUUUAGUUUAAGUAAGCUGAGAUACUUUGAAGUUGAAGGGUGCAGUCAAAUCCCUUACAUAGGCAAGUUAACUUCGCUCCAACAUCUCAAACAAUUUUCCGUGCAAAAGCAAAUGGGCUAUGAGGUGCAGCAGCUAAAAGAUAUGAAUGACGUUGGAGGCAGUUUAAGUAUAAAAAAUCUUGAGAAUGUCACUGGGAGGGAUCAAGCCUUAGAAGCAAAGCUACAUGAGAAAAGGCAUCUUGAGAACUUGCACCUUGAAUGGAGUGACAUGACUGCACAUGAUAGUUUACAUUUGGAAACUCUGGAAGGUCUGAUGACACCGCCUCAAAUUAGGGGCCUUACUAUAAAAGGUUAUGGAUAUGCAAAAUACCCAGGCUGGUUACUUGACAAUUCUUAUUUCCACAAUUUGGAGUCACUUGCGCUUGUUGAUUGUAGUGCCUUAGAAAUGCUACCAUCCAAUGCUGGCCUCUUUGGGAAUUGCUCCUCACUUCAUCUCGAGAAUGUCCCAAACCUGAAGACAUUGCCUUCUCUUCCAACCAGGCUUGAAGAGUUGAAGAUUGAGAAAUGCAUGUUGAUUAUGUUUAUUUCUAACGAUGAGCUAGAACAACAUGCCCAAAGGGAGAACACCAUGAUGAUACACAACUUGGAGUCACGGCUUUCUUCCUUGUGGGAGGUGGAUACGGGAUCCAAAAUCAGGAAAGUACUAUUGUCGGAACAUUCAUCUCUCAUUUGGUUGAUGACAUUGAUGGAUGCUGAUAUUUCUCUUCUUCAAACCAUUGAAAGUGUUGUACAAAGAGAGGGUGGUGAAGAAUUGUUUAAAGAGGAUAUCAUCAAGGCAUGGAUAUGUUUCCAUGAGGAGAGGGUAAGACUCAUUUGUAAAAGGAACAUAGGCCUGCGACUGGUACCACCAUCAGGGCUUUCUCGGCUUGAUCUUUCGUCAUGCAUCAUUACAGAUGGGGCAUUAGCUGUUUGCCUUGAUGGUCUCACUUUGCUGAGACAUUUGUCUUUGAAAGAGAUUAUGACUUUAACUACACUGCCGUCACAAGAUGUUCUCCAACAGUUGACAAAGCUUCAUUACUUGUGCAUCAGCUCGUGCUGGUGUCUUAGAUCAUUGGGGGGAUUACGAGCUGCUACCGCCCUUUCAGAAAUUAAAUUACGGAGCUGCCCUUCUUUAGACUUGACACCUGGAACAAGUUCUUUGCCAUUGUCCCUUGAGGUUCUCGGAAUAUUUCACUGGAUGGUUUCCGCCGAUUUCAUCAGUAUUGACUUGCCCCACCUGAAAGAUAUUUCCAUGGCUUUCUGCAGAAGCCCUUCAUCAUUGUCGAUUGGUCAUUUAACCUCCCUCCAAAGAUUGUCACUGCACAAUUUACAUGACUUGUGCUUCCUUGAAGGCUUGUCCUCGCUGCAACUAUCCAGCGCACGGUUUACACAUGUCCCCAACCUCAAUAUGAAGUUUGUCUCACAGUUGCGAGUCAAGGGGUCCCUCUAUGUUAGCAGCCCCGUAAUGCUCAACCACAUGCUCUCAGAUGAAGGUUUUACAGUUCCAGAAUUUCUCGGUCUUGAUGGAUGUAACGAGUCCUUUUCAUUUGAAGAAUCGGCAGAUUUCUCAUCUAUCAAGUGGCUGUCAUUUUUGAAUUGUGAAACCAGUUCAUUGCCAGUUAAUCUCAAGUGCUUUUCAUGCCUGCGGGCACUACAGAUUGUUAAGUGCCCCAAUAUAUCAUUUUUACCUGAUUUGCCAUCUUCCCUUGAACACAUAUUUGUGCGGGAUUCUGAACUCCUGAAGAAGAGCUGCCGAGCACCUGAUGGAGAAAGCUGGCCAAAGAUUGAGCAUAUCCACUUCAAAAAAUUUCCAUAA